UACGUAGGGUGCGAGCGUUGUCCGGAAUUAUUGGGCGUAAAGGGUUCGUAGGCGGACCGGAAAGUCAGAUGCGAAAUCCCACAGCUCAACUGUGGAACUGCAUUUGAAACUUCCGGACUAGAGUGUGAGAGGGGUAAAGGGAAUUCCCGGUGUAAGGGUGAAAUCUGCAGAGAUCGGGAGGAACACCAGUCGCGAAGGCGCUUUACUGGCUCACUACUGACGCUCAGGAACGAAAGCUAGGGUAGCAAACGGG
rnacentral:rRNA from 1 species